rnacentral:rRNA from 1 species
UACGUAGGGGGCAAGCGUUGUCCGGAUUUAUUGGGCGUAAAGGGCGCGUAGGCGGCCACGCACGUCCGUUGUGAAAUCGCCCGGCUCAACUGGGCGGGGUCAGCGGAUACGGUGUGGCUCGAGCAAGCUAGGGGGCAAUGGAACUCCCGGUGUAGUGGUGGAAUGCGUAGAUAUCGGGGAAGAACACCAGUGGCGAAGGCGGUUGCCUGGAGCUUUGCUGACGCUGAUGCGCGAAAGCGUGGGGAGCGAUCCGG